UACGUAGGGGGCAAGCGUUUGUCCGGAAUCAUUGGGCGUAAAGCGCGCGUAGGCGGCCCCGAUAAGUCUGCUGUGAAAGUCCAGGGCUCAACCCUGGAAUGCCGGUGGAUACUGUCGGGCUAGAGUUCGGAAGAGGCAAGUGGAAUUCCUGGUGUAGCGGUGGAAUGCGCAGAUAUCAGGAGGAACACCUAUAGCGAAGGCAGCUUCUGGGACGACACUGACGCUAAGGCGCGAAAAGCGUGGGGGAGCGAAACAGG
rnacentral:rRNA from 1 species